CCUACGGGAGGCAGCAGUGAGGAAUAUUGGUCAAUGGGCGCGAGCCUGAACCAGCCAAGUCGCGUGAGGGAAGACGGUCCUAUGGAUUGUAAACCUCUUUUGUCGGGGAGCAAAAGACGCCACGCGUGGCGUUCCGAGAGUACCCUAAGAAAAAGCAUCGGCUAACUCCGUUCCAGCAGCCGCGGUACGACGGAGGAUGCGAUCGUUAUCCGGAUUUAUGGGGUUUAAAGGGUGCGCAGGCGGAAGAUCAAGUCAGCGGUAAAAUUGAGAGGCUCAACCUCUUCGAGCCGUUGAAACUGGUUUGCUUGAGUGAGCGAGAAGUAUGCGGAAGGCGUGGUGUAGCGGUGAAAUGCAUAGAUAUCACGCAGAACUCCGAUUGCGAAGGCAGCAUACCGGCGCUCAACUGACGCUCAUGCACGAAAGUGUGGGUAUCGAACAGGAUUAGAUACCCCUGUAGUC
rnacentral:rRNA from 1 species